ensembl:lncRNA
CUUGGGGCGAGGGCGGGGCCUGGCGCUGCUCACCUGGAGGGUGGGGCGCGCGCCCGUAGCUGCCAGGUACGCGCUGGAGAGCCACGGGCGGUACGCGCACCCGGGCCCUCUUAGAAGCGGAACAGGGUCGGGAAGACAAACACGAACGGAGAGUAACGGGCGUUGGCAUUUACUCUUCAACGGGAGGACGGUUUCCAGGAACCGUCCUGCCUCUUUGUCCUGGGACCUUACGUCUGUCUCGGGCCUGGCUAGCUGCGGAGAUGCACGAGGCUCGGUCACAUGACCUUGCGCAGCGCAGGUGCGUUCUCGUCACUGCGGAGCAGCAGCUUUGGGCUGCAGGACGCGAGCCCUUUAAAAAUAUGGAUAGACUCCCCAUGCUCCCUUGAAGACACACCGCCUUACUGCACGCCGCACUGCGCAGAGGCCGAGGAACUAGGCUCAGCUUGCAAAGCUCAGGGCCUCCUGCGAACACCUGCCGCAAACACCCGGCCUUGGCCUAGCUGCAGCCGCUAUUCUAGAUCUCACCCCGGGCUCCUCGCGAGGCUGCAAGCCAGGACUUCCCACGAUCGCACGUCAAUCCGUGCGACUCUGGUUCCAGUUAAGAUGCCUUUUGAGGACGUGUUUGGCUGUGGGCAAGGAGAGAGAGGAAACGUCCGGGAUGGUUUGGAUUGAGGGGAAGUCAAAUGCGGGACCUGAAGGUUCGUCUUGGUCUGCAUUCAGCCUGGCGCGCUCUGGUCUCCUACCCUCCUCUAGCCCAGUGUCUGGAUCCAGGCGGUCACCGACCUGGUUCCUCGAGUGCCGUAGCACUGCCGCAUUGUAAUAAGCCUCCUGCCAGUGUGUUGCCAGGUCGAAUUACGAGACGUUAUUGGAAAGCCCUUUGCGCACUCCAAACCUGCAGCACGGUUGUUAGUUCGCUGAGCUCUUUGAGAGAUUUCUCUGGCACCUUUUUUCUUUCAAAGUAAGAUUGAUAUGUGCCUGCUCAUAUUAAAAUGCUUGUCUCAGAUGACAUUCUUGGCAGGAGCAACAUAGUCACAGACCGAAGAGAGGGCGAAUUUCAGUAGAGACGCAGCCAUCCUAGAGAGAAUUGAGAGAUGAUUAGCUUUUGUUGUUGUGUUUAAUGUUUGGUAGUGGAGGCUGACAGGAACAAGGAAGGGCGCGAUGGGAAGGAGGCUGGAGUGACAGUACAGAACACUUCUGUUUCCUUGGUGAUCCUCCUGGGCUUUUCUGUUCUCUAGAGGAACAGAACUUACAGAAUGAAUAUAUAUGUACGGAAAGGGUAUGUGUUAGAAUACCUCACAGGCUGUGGUUCAGUUAAUCGAACAAUGACUGUCUAACAACAGAAGGUCCAGGGAUUCAGUAGUUGUUCAGUCCCCAAAGCCGAAUGUCUCGGCUGGUCUUCAGUAUACGCUGGAAUCUCAAGCAGGUUAUAAUGAUAGUGAAGGAAUGGACUUGCUGGUGAGACAGAGAAUAAACAGGCAAAGAGCAAAAGCUCCCUUAUCCCAUGUCAUUUAAAUAGGCUGCAAGCAAGCUUGCCCCAGAUUAAAGGUAUGUCUUCCCACCUCAAAAGAGCCACAUUACAGGUGACUCUUUCCAUCUCAAAAGGUCUGGGUUAAAGGCAUUAUCUUUUUGCCUCAAAGACCCCAAUCAAAUGAUUUAAUUAAGCAGAAAUCUAUCACUCGUGGGCCCAGUCAUUGGGGUUUUAAUUCCUGAUGUAGGAAAGUUGACACCCAAAAGUAGCCUUCACAUCCGCCUAGCUCUUACUGACAUGGACCUGGUAACUUGAGCAAGAGAGUGUUGGGUUGUUUUGCUUGAAACAGGGUCUCGCUGUCUAGCCUGCCUAGAAUGUGAUAGGUUAGCCCAGGCAGGUAAGGUCUUCUGGGUAAGCCUCCUCAAUGCCUGGCCACAUGAUAGGGUUUUAAGGAUGACUGCCCUGGGCGCUGUAGGACAUUUGGUGUCUUCCGUGGCUUCCACCCACCUGAGGCCACUUGCAGACCCUGCUGACCCAUCAGACCCUUCAAACAUUACCACACCCCCACCCUAACCCCACUCCUGGUUUAAAUUUGCCUCUACUGAUGGUUUCCAGCAACCUGUCAAAAAUACAUGGGCCACAUUCUAGAGCUACGAAUGCCUAAACUGGAUUCAGGGAGAGUUGGUUGUUUGGUUUUUGUUUUUAGGACAAGGUUUCAUCUAGCCCAGGCUGGUCAGAAUUUUAUAUAGCCAAAGACCAUCUUGAACACCUUUCUCAUCCCCCUGCUUUCCUCCUCCCAAGAGCUGGGAUAACCAGCACAUCCAAAUCGAAUGGGACACUGCUGGGCAGUGGUGGGACAUGCUAUGGAUCUCAGUACUCAGAGGUGAAGGCAGGCAGAUUUCUGAGUUUGAGGCCAGUCUGGUCUACAUUGAGAGACCCUGUCUUAAAAGACAAAACAGGAAAAAAGGUUGGCAGCCAGGGCUUUUUCCACUAUCUGCUGGCUUCAAAGACAUUUAAAACAAAUGUAACAACUAGUGAAUCCAAGUGACAGGUUUGUUAAUUGUCCCUUCAGGCCUUUCUAACUUUUGUGAAUAACUGAAAAUCUCGUAAUAUGACAUUACACAAAUAGGUUCGUGGUUAUUUUGUGAACAUUUAGCAUCCUUAGCCAGAGGGCCUACAUAUAAUUUCCCUUCCACCACAAACUGAUUAUGCUGGCUAGUUUUAUGUCAGCUCGACACAAGCUAAAGUCUGUCGGCGCCAGCACCGACACAGUACCGAGAAUCGGGCGAAAGCCUACGGGAUGAAAGAAACACACAUACACACACACAGGUUAUCGUGUCAAGCCAGGAGAGGAAGAGAGGGAAAGAGAGAGAGAGAGAGAGGGAGGGAAGAAGGAGAGAGAGCGAGAGAGCGGAAGAGAGAGUGAGAGUCUCCUGUAGCUUUAUUCACCACUUAUAUACCCAAGUCUCCAGGUAGAAAAUAUCUGGGAAGCACAGUGGGAAACCGUGGCUCCUGACUACCUGGCUCUUGACUUCGGUAACAAAAGACCGACUACUACGAGACCUGAAUUAAUUAGGGAGAAAUCCGAGAAGACCAGCCUAAAUCUCAAGGAUAAAGGCUGAGGAAGCAAAAGGCAGAAGUAAAUUGACCACCGACCACCGCCCAGGUGUGGCCCAGGUGUGUCGGUUCUACUUGCAUCAGCCGGGCUCAGCAGAGGUCAUGCAGUGGAGACACCGGGUGUUUACUACUUGGUCUUUUCUUCCUGUGCCGUAAAUACAUGGGAGAGGCCUCUGUCCAACAAUCCCAUGACUUUUACUGUGGCCAUGCAGUUACAAAGCUGCCAGGCCCAAAUCCAAUAUGGCUCACUACAAAAGUCGUCUGAGAGGAAAGCUCAAUUAAGAAGAUGACUUCAUAAGGAUCAAGUUCUAAGCAUGAAUUUCUGUAGGGCAUUUUCUUAAUUAGUGAUUGAUGGGUAAGGGUCCAGUCCUUCCUCCCUUGGGCUGAUGGUCUUGGGUUCUAUAAGAAAGCAGGCUGAGCAAGCCAGGGUAAGUAAGCCAGUAAGCAGCAUCCCUCCAUGGCCUCUGCAUCAGCUCCUGCCUCCAGGUUCCUGCCCUGCUUGAGUUCCAGUCCUGACUUCCUUGAUGAUGGACUAGGAUAUGGAAGUGUAGGCCAAAUAAACCCUUUCUUCCCAAAGUUGCUUUUGGUUUUGCUUCAUCACAGCAAUAGGGACACUGACUAAGACACUGACUAAAUACAAAUGCCAACAUGAAAAGUCUCAGUCCUCAGUCGGUGCUAGAACAAGAUCUGCUUUGUCUCCAUGUUCCUCGACUCCUUGGGGUGUUUUCCUGCUCAAGGAGGAAUACACUUGUGAUACAGAAAUAAAGAGAUAGCUAUCAAAGGCAUGAGGGGCGGUUAGCCCUAAGUUAGACUACAGUUAAUGUGAUGUUUGAAACAUAACUUUGUGUCUUUAUCAAAUCAGUCCUUGUUAUUGUACAAUUAUUCAGCACAGCCAAAGUGUUCAAGAUCCAGUAUAUUUGCCAAACACACGAGUAACUUGACUUAAGCUCUGUGUUGGUGUUGUAGUUAAGUGUGGCCCAAAGGUUCAUUCGUUGGAAGCCUGGUCCGUCUUUGGGUGCUGUUAAAUGGUGGGAAUCUCAAGGCCCCACCGGAUGUUACUGGGCUACUGGGGCCUAUGAGAUUGCUCAAGGGGUAAGGAUGCUUGGAGCCAACCUUGACAACCUGAGUGUGAUCUGGGAUCCCUGUGGUGAAAAGAAAACCAAUUUCUGAGGAUCGUCAUCUGACCACCACACAUGCACUGUGCCACUCACCAACACGAAUAAAAAAAAAAAUUAAAUGUUAUAUUGAAUAUCUUAAUAAACUCUAGCUUUGCUUCCUCCUGGCUCCUGUUAAUUAUUUUUUUUUUCUGCAGUCAAGGAUCCUCC